rnacentral:sRNA from 1 species
CAGGCACUCGAAUUGAAGGUAUCUCAAAGGGUUACCGAGAAGCAAGAAGAAAGGGGAAAGUCGCUUCUUCUAUCUUCCCGGAUUCUAUAUUAAUUGAACGUGUCCCUCUGAGAGGGAGGGGGUAGGUUUUUCUCAGUUCUUAGUCGGUCUACUUGUAGCACCAUUCAGAGAUGCGCCUAGCAUGCAUGUACAGUACAGUCUAUGAGUAUUGCUUUUCUUGUGUAUGGGAAAUGUGAGAGAGUGUCGGACUUUCUUCGCAUGGAGCGAAUGAUAUUUCUUUGUUGACAUUGUAAUGUAGAGGAUUUUUAUUUAUAUUUGGUGGGG